rnacentral:rRNA from 1 species
GACGGAGGGUGCUAGCGUUGUUCGGAAUUACUGGGCGUAAAGGGCGCGUAGGCGGCCUCUUAAGUCGGGUGUGAAAGCCCGGGGCUCAACCCCGGAACGGCACCCGAGACUGCGGGGCUGGAGACCGGAAGAGGUGAGUGGAAUACCCAGUGUAGAGGUGAAAUUCGUAGAUAUUGGGUGGAACACCGGUGGCGAAAGCGGCUCACUGGUCCGGUUCUGACGCUGAGGAGCGAAAGCGUGGGGAGCAAACAGG